rnacentral:rRNA from 1 species
AUGCACGCUGGCGGCGUGCUUAACACCUGCAAGUCGAACGCUGAAGCCCAGCUUGCUGGGUGGAUUAGUGGCGAACGGGUGAGUAACACGUGAGUAACCUGCCCUUAACUCUGGGAUAAGCCUGGGAAACUGGGUCUAAUACCGGAUAGGAGCGUCCACCGCAUGGUGGGUGUUGGAAAGAUUUAUCGGUUUUGGAUGGACUCGCGGCCUAUCAGCUUGUUGGUGAGGUAAUGGCUCACCAAGGCGACGACGGGUAGCCGGCCUGAGAGGGUGACCGGCCACACUGGGACUGAGACACGGCCCAGACUCCUACGGGAGGCAGCAGUGGGGAAUAUUGCACAAUGGGCGAAAGCCUGAUGCAGCGACGCCGCGUGAGGGAUGACGGCCUUCGGGUUGUAAACCUCUUUCAGUAGGGAAGAAGCGAAAGUGACGGUACCUGCAGAAGAAGCACCGGCUAACUACGUG